rnacentral:rRNA from 1 species
CAGUCGUACCGGCGGAUAAUCAGCCUUUCGGGUGCGAUUCUGUGGGGCGUGAGGAGCUUAACCGCCUUCAUGUUUUGCAUAUUCGUGCACAUUUGGUGUACUUGCUCGUGUGGUUGGUUAACAUUCAAUUUUCGGAGCCAUAAAAUGGCUGGA